rnacentral:rRNA from 1 species
AUUGAACGCUGGCGGCAGGCCUAACACAUGCAAGUCGAGCGGAUGAAGGGAGCUUGCUCCUGGAUUCAGCGGCGGACGGGUGAGUAAUGCCUAGGAAUCUGCCUGGUAGUGGGGGAUAACGUCCGGAAACGGGCGCUAAUACCGCAUACGUCCUGAGGGAGAAAGUGGGGGAUCUUCGGACCUCACGCUAUCAGAUGAGCCUAGGUCGGAUUAGCUAGUUGGUGGGGUAAAGGCCUACCAAGGCGACGAUCCGUAACUGGUCUGAGAGGAUGAUCAGUCACACUGGAACUGAGCCACGGUCCAGACUCCUACGGGAGGCAGCAGUGGGGAAUAUUGGACAAUGGGCGAAAGCCUGAUCCAGCCAUGCCGCGUGUGUGAAGAAGGUCUUCGGAUUGUAAAGAACUUUAAGUUGGGAGGAAGGGCAGUAAGUUAAUACCUUGCUGUUUUGACGUUACCAACAGAAUAAGCACCGGCUAACUUCGUG